rnacentral:rRNA from 1 species
GAUGAACGCUGGCGGCGUGCCUAAUACAUGCAAGUCGAGCGAACAGAUGAGAAGCUUGCUUCUCUGAUGUUAGCGGCGGACGGGUGAGUAACACGUGGGUAACCUACCUAUAAGACUGGGAUAACUCCGGGAAACCGGGGCUAAUACCGGAUAAUAUUUUGAACCGCAUGGUUCACUAGUGACAGACGGUUUCGGCUGUCACUUAUAGAUGGACCCGCGCCGUAUUAGCUAGUUGGCAAGGUAACGGCUUACCAAGGCGACGAUACGUAGCCGACCUGAGAGGGUGAUCGGCCACACUGGAACUGAGACACGGUCCAGACUCCUACGGGAGGCAGCAGUAGGGAAUCUUCCGCAAUGGGCGAAAGCCUGACGGAGCAACGCCGCGUGAGUGAUGAAGGUCUUCGGAUCGUAAAACUCUGUUGUUAGGGAAGAACAAAUUUGUUAGUAACUGAACAAGUCUUGACGGUACCUAACCAGAAAGCCACGGCUAACUACGUGCCAGCCGCCGCAGUAA